GUACAUUUGACAACUCUUUUAUGUCGAUCCACUUGAGGCGUGUCGACAGCAGGAGAAAUGAGUUGUUAUGGUGACCAGCACGCAAUGCUGUCCUCAGAUGAUGUGAUGCCACCUCCUGGUGAAUCCAUGUCCUGCUGCUGACAUUAGUAUUUGUGUCUCUGAGCUGUAGUUCUCCUCAGUGGCUGACAGGACCACAGACAUACAGAGUGACCUGGGGGUGUGACGGUGAAACAAGCUCAACAAGAGUGAAACGUGGGCAUCAUCUUGAAAUAAGCAUCCUCAAACCUGGUGAAAACUACCAGUUCAACAUGGCAACAGAGGGAGAAGAUGGAAGACAAAGCAGAUGGGUCUCAGCAUCCCUAUCCACAGUGGUCCCACCCAGAGAUUUAAAGAUAAACCAUUUGGAAGAGACCUCCUUCACUCUCCACUGGUCCAAGGCUGAAGGGAUGGAGAAAGUCCCACAGCGCUUCCUCAUAUCACACUGCAUCCCAGGAACAGACCCACUCACAGCCAUUACUGACAACUGCCACAAAGCUUUCUCAAACCUGCAACCUGGCACCGAGUACACUGUUAGUGUUACAACUGUGCUGAGCAAUGGGGAACAGAGUGAACCUGUCUCUACAACAAUUUGCACUAGUAAGAGAUCCCUAAUUACAGCGCAUCAUCUCUUUACCACUAAAGCCUAUCUCUAACCUUUUAUGCUGUCUCUCCUUUCUGGGGAGGUUCCCAUUGCUUGGAAGGCAGCUGUGGUUUGUCCUUUAUUUAAAGGGGGAG